AUUGAACGCUGGCGGCAGGCCUAACACAUGCAAGUCGAGCGGAUGAAGGGAGCUUGCACCUGGAUUCAGCGGCGGACGGGUGAGUAAUGCCUAGGAAUCUGCCUGGUAGUGGGGGAUAACGUCCGGAAACGGGCGCUAAUACCGCAUACGUCCUGAGGGAGAAAGUGGGGGAUCUUCGGACCACACGCUGUCAGAUGAGCCUAGGUCGGAUUAGCUCGUUGGUGGGGUAAAGGCCUACCAAGGCGACGAUCCGUGACUGGUCUGAGAGGGUGAUCAGCCACACUGGAACUGAGACACGGUCCAGACUCCUACGGGAGGCAGCAGUGGGGAAUACUCGGCAAUGGGCGAAAGCCUGAUCCAGCCAUGCCGCGUGUGUGAAGAAGGUCUUCGGAUGGUAAAGCACUUUAAGUUGGGAAGAACGGCAGUAAGUUAAUACCUUCCUGUGUUGACGGUACCAACAGAAUAAGCACCGGCUAACUACGUG
rnacentral:rRNA from 1 species